GAUGAACGCUGGCGGCGUGCUUAACACAUGCAAGUCGAACGGGAUGCUUACGACGGAGACUUCGGUUGAAGAUGUAAGUUAUCUAGUGGCGGACGGGUGAGUAACGCGUGGGUAACCUGCCCAUGAGAGGAGGAUAACAGGGAGAAAUUCUUGCUAAUACUCUAUAUGCUUACGGUGUCGCAUGAUACUGUGAGGAAAAGAAUUUUGCUCAUGGAUGGACCCGCGUUUGAUUAGCCAGUUGGUGGGGUAACGGCCUACCAAAGCUACGAUCAAUAGCCGGCCUGAGAGGGUGAUCGGCCACAUUGGGACUGAGACACGGCCCAAACUCC
rnacentral:rRNA from 1 species